AGAGGACCUGUGGUAUAGCAAGAAAGUUCUGGAGACAGUAACAGGUCCAGUGCUGAUGGAUGAGCUUUGGCAGUAAGCACUUUUAAAACAUUUUAAGGAGUUUGAAG
rnacentral:lncRNA from 11 species